GCAGAUGCAUCGCUGGCGAGGAAAACAAUUGCCCCCAUCAGAUCCUCGACUGUGCCAAGGCGACCGAGCUUGAUCUUCUGUAGUACACUCUCUUUGAACGCCGCAUUUUCAAAGAAAGGUUUGGUCAUGGGCGUCUCGAUGAAGGUCGGGCACAGCGUGUUGACACGGAUCUUGCUGGCUGCAAGGUCGAGCGCCAUCGCCUUCGAGAAACCCUCCAUCUCCCAUUUCGACGCGCAAUAGAGCGAGCGA
rnacentral:misc_RNA from 1 species